rnacentral:rRNA from 1 species
CCUACGGGAGGCAGCAGUGGGGAAUUUUGCGCAAUGGGGGCAACCCUGACGCAGCAACGCCGCGUGCGGGACGAAGGCGUCCGCGUCGUAAACCGCUUUCAGCGGGGAACACUUCAACGAGGGUACCCGCAGAAGAAGCCCCGGCUAAAUACGUGCCAGCAGCCGCGGUAAUACGUAUGGGGCGAGCGUUAUCCGGAUUCAUUGGGCGUAAAGCGCGCGUAGGCGGAGCGCUAAGCGGGACCUCUAACCCGAGGGCUCAACCCCCGGCCGGGUCCCGAACUGGCGCUCUCGAGUGCGGUAGGGGAGAGCGGAAUUCCCGGUGUAGCGGUGGAAUGCGCAGAUAUCGGGAGGAACACCGACGGCGAAGGCAGCUCUCUGGGCCGAAACUGACGCUGAGGCGCGAAAGCUGGGGGAGCGAACAGGAUUAGAUACCCUGGUAGUCCCAGCCGUAAACGAUGGGCGCUAGGUGUGGGGGAUAACAUCUUCCGCGCCGCAGCCAACGCGUUAAGCGCCCCGCCUGGGGAGUACGGCCGCAAGGCUAAAACUCAAAGGAAUUGACGGGGGCCCGCACAAGCAGCGGAGCAUGUGGCUUAAUUCGAAGCAACGCGAAGAACCUUACCAGGGCUUGACAUACAGGUGAAGCCGGAGAGAUCCGGUGGCCGAGAGGAGCCUAUACAGGUGGUGCAUGGCUGUCGUCAGCUCGUGCCGUGAGGUGUUGGGUUAAGUCCCGCAACGAGCGCAACCCCCGCCGCGUGUUGCCAGCAUUCAGUUGGGCACUCACGCGGGACUGCCGGCGUCAAGCCGGAGGAAGGCGGGGACGACGUCAAGUCAUCAUGCCCCUCAUGCCCUGGGCCGCACACGUGCUACAAUGGCCGGCACAACGGGUUGCCACCCCGCGAGGGGGAGCGGAUCCCUAAAGCCGGCCCCAGUUCGGAUCGCAGGCUGCAACCCGCCUGCGUGAAGCCGGAGUUGCUAGUAAUCGCGGAUCAGCACGCCGCGGUGAAUACGUUCCCGGGCCUUGUACACACCGCCCGUCACACCACCCGAGUCGUCUGCACCCGAAGCCGCCGGCCGAACCCCGCAAGGGGGCGGAGGCGUCGAAGGUGUGGAGGGUGAGGGGGGUGAAGUCGUAACAAGGUAGCCGUACCGGAAGGUGCGGCUG